rnacentral:rRNA from 1 species
UACGUAGGGUGCAGGCGUUAAUCGGAAUUACUGGGCGUAAAGCGUGCGCAGGCGGUUUGUUAAGACAGGUGUGAAAUCCCCGGGCUUAACCUGGGAACUGCGCUUGUUACUGGCAAGCUGGAGUGUGGCAGAGGGGGGGUGGAAUUCCACGUGUAGCAGUGAAAUGCGUAGAGAUGUGGAGGAACACCGAUGGCGAAGGCAGCCCCCUGGGCUAACACUGACGCUCAUGCACGAAAGCGUGGGGAGCAAACAGG